AGUGAACGCUGGCGGUAGGCCUAACACAUGCAAGUCGAACGGCAGCACAGUAAGAGCUUGCUCUUACGGGUGGCGAGUGGCGGACGAGUGAGGAAUAUAUCGGAAUCUACUUUUUCGUGGGGGAUCACGUAGGGAAACUUACGCUCAUACCGCAUACGACCUACGGGUGAAAGCAGGGGAUCUUCGGACCUUGCGCGAUUGAAUGAGCCGAUGUCGGAUUAGCUAGUUGGCGGGGUAAAGGCCCACCAAGGCGACGAUCCGUAGCUGGUCUGAGAGGAUGAUCGGCCACACGGGAACGGAGACACGGUCCAGACGCCUACGGGAGGCAGCAGUGGGGAAUAUGGGGCAAUGGGCGCAAGCCUGAUCCAGCCAGACCGCGUGGGUUAAGAAGGCCUUCGGGUUGUAAAGCCCGUUUGUUGGGAAAGAAAAGCAGCAGGUUGAUACCCCGCUGUUCUGACGGUACCCAAAGAAUAAGCACCGGCUAACUUCGUG
rnacentral:rRNA from 1 species